GAAACUAAACAAGGCCUGAUACGUAGGUUACAUCUACAUAAGUUACCAUGUAACUUGUAAAAGAUCUAUAUAAAAAUGUUAUACAUCUUCCAUUAACAUCAAGCAAAAAUACAAAGUUAGGUCCAUAGACCACUCUCACGAAGCUCUAAGAAAGAAAACCAAAACCCAAUCUUGAAAAGUUUGUAGGUGGAUCAGUUGAAUUUGCUCAACAACAAUGAUUAUUGUAUGGAAAGUUGAAAUACAUCUGAAAACCAUUCAUUUGAAAUUGGCAAACAAGUGGACCUGAAGAUUCAUGAAGUAUAAACAAAAUGAGUGUCACACCCAUAUUUUAAGAACAAAAUAGGAUGCAUAAAAGACUCAUAUGUGCCCCAGAAACAGUCGCACACAUAAGUAGACAAAUCUCAAAUGUACCAUCGCAGUGUUUAUUACAUAGCGGAAUAUAAAAUAUCACAUAGUCUCAUACAAAAAUGAUAACAUAAAGUAAACGACGCUCUCAACGGAAGCUCCACACAGGGACACUGUUGACUGGUUGACUCCAAACCUAGUACUCAUAACGGUAAUCCUCAUUCCAGUCAUCUUCAUUAUCAUAACCUGAGGUGUUGGGAAAUUGCAAGAGUGAGCACAUAUCGUACUCAACAAGUAAAACCAGGGGUUCAUGAGGCUCAAAUGGCUAACACUGGUUUGUCUGCAUCUAGCUUUUAAUAGAGGAUAGCAUGUUCAUAAUUAAAUAGCAAUUGUCAAGGAAGCAUGAAUAAUCCAUUAAUCCCA
rnacentral:lncRNA from 1 species